CUACGGGAAAAAGACUUCGGUCGCUAUUGGAUGAGCCUAUGUCAGAUUAGCUUGUUGGUAGGGUAAUGGCCUACCAAGGCGACGAUCUGUAGCUGGUCUGAGAGGAUGAUCAGCCACACUGGGACUGAGACACGGCCCAGACUCCUACGGGAGGCAGCAGUGGGG
rnacentral:rRNA from 1 species